CAUCUAUAACGAUGACCUCAUGGCACCGCCUUCUUGCUGAUUUGCAGACUCCCUGAUCAGGCCUGGUCUCUGUGGUGUAAGGGCACACAGGGACUCUCAGGGACCAUUUGUUGAGCGGACAAUAAAAAGAAUGGUAAACAGAGCUGGGAUUUGCCAGGCAGCCUUCCCGAGACACCCCGGUGCUGAGCCCUGUCUUUUGCUGAAGGUGUCAAGUCUCUUCACCCCGAAAUCUGGCCACCAGCUCUCCUUCUUGCCUGGACACAGGACCUGGGGGGCAGGAGGGGCUGAGACGUGGUCACGUGCUCUGCCUCAGUCCAAAAGCCCUGCUCACGUGACCAUCGACAGUGGAUUGAUGAAAUUAAGCACAGAUGGUUACUUUGUUGUUGUUCUUUGAACUGACAGCU